AUACGGAGGGUGCAAGCGUUACUCGGAAUCACUGGGCGUAAAGCGCGCGCAGGCGGUCUUUUAAGUUGGAUGUGAAAGCCUACGGCUCAACCGUAGAACUGCAUCCAAAACUAUUAGACUAGAGUGUGCGAGAGGAAGAUGGAAUUAGUUGUGUAGGGGUAAAAUCCGUAGAGAUAACUAGGAAUACCAAAAGCGAAGGCAAUCUUCUGGAACACUACUGACGCUGAGGCGCGAAAGCGUGGGGAGCAAACAGGAUUAGAAACCCCAGUAGUCC
rnacentral:rRNA from 1 species